AAGACUAUACUUUCAGGGAUCAUUUCUAUAGUUCCUAACUUGAGAAAUGUGUUUCUAAAGUGUGAGUCCCGCCAGCCACGAUGACGAGUUGCGGUGCUCCUUUCUGAGCGCGAAGCGAGUACAGAGAAGUGAUUAUAUCACGUGCUCUGUGCUAUUGAUGACCGUUCAGUGCUCCUCUACUGGAGCAUCGAAGGAAGGAGUGCGUUCAGAGUGGU